GACUUAAGCUCGUGUUCCUGUUGAUUAUGGCGCAUCUGCUCCUCGAGGGCGGCGGCAUUUUGCAAGUUGUAAUUGACAGUUAGUACAGCGCUGCUGUAGUUCGCGUGACUCGUAAACUUGCACUUAAAGUCAUGAGGCGGCCCGCAGUGGAACAGGUAGCAGCUUCCUGGUUUCUAAAAUUGGAAAUAUACUCGUUAUUCAUGUGUCAUACAAAUUUAUUCGUGGAUAUUUGUAAAAUAUGUCGACUAAACGCGAUUGAUUUUGUGUAAUAUAUAAGGGUCACUGAUCAUCGUUUCUACUGGCUCGUGUCAGCUAGCUUUUGCAUCAAAAAAUCAUAUUUGUUUAUCUUUAUUAGCAAUAAUCAACAGAAGUUUAAUUAAUUAUUAUCAUGACAAUCGCUCAAUUAUAAAAGUAGGCAAUGCCGAGUUACAACUGUACAGUUAAAGACUCCAACCCCACCGACAAUGGGUCCUAAGUAGUACAAAAAUGCGCGUGUCAGGCAAACGUUUAGUUUAUUUCGAAUAAAUAACCGCAACUCGCACUGUAUAUGAUAUAAUGCGGACCCUCUACGAAGUUGACACACUUUUCUAACUAUACUACUUGGAUUAAGAGUGCUCCACACCUUGAGUGACCCGCCACCUAGCGAAGAAAACGUUUUUUGUUUAUUAUAAUGAAUUGACUAACUUUAUCAUCAUAAAUCGAGUUUCAGCACGUGAAAUAAGUAUUAAUGAAUGUUUGAAAAAAAAAUUAACGGAAUAAAAUGUGAAUUUAAACUUUUACCUAAUAAACUUAAUUUUGUAAUAUUCCUUGAUACACACUACACUUGCUGAAACUCACUAAUACCCACUUUUCAACCUUUAAGUUUGUUUAAAUUAUUAAUGGUUAU